GAUGAACGCUGGCGGCGUGCCUAAUACAUGCAAGUCGAGCGAACAGACGAGGAGCUUGCUCCUCUGACGUUAGCGGCGGACGGGUGAGUAACACGUGGAUAACCUACCUAUAAGACUGGGAUAACUUCGGGAAACCGGAGCUAAUACCGGAUAAUAUAUUGAACCGCAUGGUUCAAUAGUGAAAGACGGUUUUGCUGUCACUUAUAGAUGGAUCCGCGCCGCAUUAGCUAGUUGGUAAGGUAACGGCUUACCAAGGCGACGAUGCGUAGCCGACCUGAGAGAGUGAUAGCCCACACAGGAACUGAGACACGCUCCAGAGUCCUCCGGGAGGCACAAGUGGGGAAUAUUGCGCGAUGGGCGCGAGAGUGACGCAGCACCGCCGCGCGAGUGAUGAAGGUCUCCGGAUCGCAAAACUCUCUUAUUAGGGAAGAACAAAAGUGUAAAUAUAUAUACACGCCUUGACGGUACAUAAUCAGAAAGCGCCGGCUAACUACGUG
rnacentral:rRNA from 1 species